rnacentral:rRNA from 1 species
UAGGGAAUCUUCCACAAUGGGCGCAAGCCUGAUGGAGCAACGCCGCGUGAGUGAAGAAGGUCUUCGGAUCGUAAAACUCUGUUGUUAGAGAAGAACAUGCAGGAGAGUAACUGUUCUUGUAUUGACGGUAUCUAACCAGAAAGCCACGGCUAACUACUUGCCAC